UGGGGAAUUUUGGACAAUGGGCGAAAGCCUGAUCCAGCAAUGCCGCGUGUGUGAAGAAGGCCUUCGGGUUGUAAAGCACUUUUGUCCGGAAAGAAAUCCUUGGCUCUAAUACAGUCGGGGGAUGACGGUACCGGAAGAAUAAGCACCGGCUAACUACGUGCCAGCAGCCGCGGUAAUACGUAGGGUGCAAGCGUUAAUCGGAAUUACUGGGCGUAAAGCGUGCGCAGGCGGUUUGCUAAGACCGAUGUGAAAUCCCCGGGCUCAACCUGGGAACUGCAUUGGUGACUGGCAGGCUAGAGUAUGGCAGAGGGGGGUAGAAUUCCACGUNUAGCAGUGAAAUGCGUAGAGAUGUGGAGGAAUACCGAUGGCGAAGGCAGCCCCCUGGGCAAUACUGACGCUCAUGCACGAAAGCGUGGGGAGCAAACAGGAUUAGAUACCCUGGUAGUCCACGCCCUAAACGAUGUCACUAGUUGUUGGGGAUUCAUUUCCUUAGUAACGUAGCUAACGCGUGAAGUUGACCGCCUGGGGAGUACGUCGCAAGAUUAAAACUUAAAGGAAUUGACGGGGUCAUAGCUG
rnacentral:rRNA from 1 species